rnacentral:rRNA from 1 species
GUGGGGAAUAUUGGACAAUGGGCGAAAGCCUGAUCCAGCCAUGCCGCGUGUGUGAAGAAGGCCUUUUGGUUGUAAAGCACUUUAAGCGAGGAGGAGGCUACCGAGAUUAAUACUCUUGGAUAGUGGACGUUACUCGCAGAAUAAUCACCGGCUAACUCUGUGCCAGCAGCCGCGGUAAUACAGAGGGUGCGAGCGUUAAUCGGAUUUACUGGGCGUAAAGCGUGCGUAGGCGGCUUUUUAAGUCGGAUGUGAAAUCCCUUAGCUUAACUUAGGAAUUGCAUUCGAUACUGGGAAGCUAGAGUAUGGGAGAGGAUGGUAGAAUUCCAGGUGUAGCGGUGAAAUGCGUAGAGAUCUGGAGGAAUACCGAUGGCGAAGGCAGCCAUCUGGCCUAAUACUGACGCUGAGGUACGAAAGCAUGGGGAGCAAACAGGAUUAGAAACCCGGGUAGUCC